rnacentral:rRNA from 1 species
ACGAACGCUGGCGGCAUGCCUAACACAUGCCAGUCGAACGAGACCUUCGGGUCUAGUGGCGCACGGGUGCGUAACGCGUGGGAACCUGCCCUUAGGUUCGGAAUAACUCCCCGAAAGGGGUGCUAAUACCGGAUAAUGUCUUCGGACCAAAGAUUUAUCGCCUUUGGAUGGGCCCGCGUUGGAUUAGCUAGUUGGUAGGGUAAAAGCCUACCAAGGCGACGAUCCAUAGCUGGUCUGAGAGGAUGAUCAGCCACACUGGGACUGAGACACGGCCCAGACUCCUACGGGAGGCAGCAGUGGGGAAUAUUGGACAAUGGGCGAAAGCCUGAUCCAGCAAUGCCGCGUGAGUGAUGAAGGCCUUAGGGUUGUAAAGCUCUUUUACCCGGGAUGAUAAUGACAGUACCGGGAGAAUAAGCUCCGGCUAACUCCGU